GACAGACGAGGAAAUGAAGCACAGAGAAGGUAAGAAACUUGCCCAGGACACGCAGCUCUAGAGCUGGGAUAUCUAUAAGCUUGGCAGUCAGAAUCAGAGCCCAGCCAUUCUCUUUUCUGUCUCAAAAUAAAUGUGAAGGCUUAUCGGGGUAGGGAGAGGGGAGUGGGAGAGGGAUGCUAGUGAUCGACAUGGAAUUUUUUUAAAAAACAGUUUUCCAGAGUUUAAAUCAAACUUAUUGCAGGAACAACAAAACACUUGGAUAGUUGGAUUCCUGGUAAGAAUGUGAAUAUUCUUGUGCAGGAUAAAAUGCUUUAUUUUCUAAAGGUUUAUAAUCUCUGCAGAAGUUUCUAAUUCAACAGUUCCUUUGGGAAGGUGCAUAGCAAAGAUGCCUUAUUCAUCAGCACAGCAAUAGAUCUAACGUUCCCGCCAGGGGUACUGGUCAGCGUUGGUUCUUUAGAAAGCCUGUGUAGAAUCGAUUAAAAAUUGCUCAGCACUUACUACAGCCAUUUUCAACCAAGAAAAAAAUAAUUUUCGGGACUCACUUAUAUUCCACAGUUUAAAUAUGGACAAUUAAUAGGUCAAGGUCCAGGCUGGAAGGGGACCACUUCGAAUCUUGAAUGCAGGGGCAAACAGCUCAAGACACCAUGGCUGAUGAAGACGCUAUGUACACGCUUUCCAGUAUGAAAACCAAUGAGCUACAUGGGGCUGGCGAACACUUGAAAGGUGGUGAGUUAGAGUUGAGAUGUGCUGGACGUGUAAAAUAAUACAUCCUGGAGUUUGAAGACUUUUGUAUAAAAUUACUUAAGAUAUCUGAAUUUUUCAAAUGUCGAUUUUUUGUUGAAAUGAUAUUUGAACAGAUUGGAUUAAAUAAAAUGUAUUAUUAAAAUUAA
rnacentral:lncRNA from 1 species